rnacentral:rRNA from 1 species
AGAGUUUGAUCCUGGCUCAGGACGAACGCUGGCGGCGUGCCUAACACAUGCAAGUCGAGCGGAGACAGUGAGUAGCUUGCUACGAACUGUUUUAGCGGCGGACGGGUGAGUAACGCGUGAGCAACCUUUCCCAGACAGGGGAAUAACACACCGAAAGGUGUACUAAUACCGCAUAAGACCACGGGAUCACAUGGUUCUGAGGUAAAAGAUUUAUCGGUUUGGGGUGGGCUCGCGUCCGAUUAGGUAGUUGGUGAGGUAACGGCCCACCAAGCCGACGAUCGGUAGCCGACCUGAGAGGGUGAUCGGCCACAUUGGGACUGAGACACGGCCCAAACUCCUACGGGAGGCAGCAGUGGGGAAUAUUGCACAAUGGGGGAAACCCUGAUGCAGCGACGCCGCGUGAGCGAAGAAGUAUUUCGGUAUGUAAAGCUCUAUCAGCAGGGAAGAAAAUGACGGUACCUGACUAAGAAGCCCCGGCUAACUACGUGCCAGCAGCCGCGGUAAUACGUAGGGGGCAAGCGUUAUCCGGAUUUACUGGGUGUAAAGGGUGCGUAGGUGGCAAGGCAAGUCAGAUGUGAAAGCCCGGGGCUCAACCCCGGUACUGCAUUUGAAACUGUCUAGCUAGAGUGCAGGAGAGGUAAGCGGAAUUCCUAGUGUAGCGGUGAAAUGCGUAGAUAUUAGGAGGAACACCAGUGGCGAAGGCGGCUUACUGGACGGUAACUGACGCUGAGGCUCGAAAGCGUGGGGAGCAAACAGGAUUAGAUACCCUGGUAGUCCACGCCGUAAACG